rnacentral:rRNA from 1 species
UGGGGAAUUUUGCGCAAUGGGCUAACGCCUGACGCAGCAACGCCGCGUGGAGGAUGAAGGUCUUUGGAUUGUAAACUCCUGUCGACCGGGAAAAAGCGACUCGGCCUAACCCGUCGGGGAGUUGAUUGUACCGGUGGAGGAAGCCCCGGCUAACUCUGUGCCAGCAGCCGCGGUAAUACAGAGGGGGCAAGCGUUAUUCGGAAUUAUUGGGCGUAAAGGGCGCGUAGGCGGCCUGGCAAGUGGAAGGUGAAAUCCCUCGGCUUAACCGAGGAACUGCCCUCCAAACUGCUUGGCUUGAGUCCGGGAGAGGUGAGUGGAAUUCCCAGUGUAGCGGUGAAAUGCGUAGAUAUUGGGAGGAACACCAGUGGCGAAGGCGGCUCACUGGACCGGAACUGACGCUGAUGCGCGAAAGCGUGGGGAGCAAAC